GUUGGUGCAAAUUCAGUUUGAUAACUUUGUGUGAUACCCCGAAUUUUCAGAAGUUAUUUUAUUAUUUAUUAAGGUUUAAGAUUAUUUUCACUCAAAAUUUAUUUUAUGAUAAUGCGAUUUUAUUUGAUAACUAUGUUUAUAAAUAAUGAUUCGAUUUAGUUUUGAUUUAUUUAACAAAGUUUAAAAUAAAUCAUUUACUUGUUUUAUUAUGCAUUUCAUUAUUUCUAAAUUAAUUAAACUUUUUACAUUUGUUAUGGGUAUCCUUAUACUAAUUGUCCAUUCAUGAUGUCCAUCCAUUUUAGCAAUUGAACGCCCAAAUACCAAGUCCAAACCAAUAUGUCUUUUAGCAAAAAAAAAAGAAAAGGAAAAAAAGAAAAGAAAAGGAAAACUGAAUUCUCAGAUUUUCAUCUCCCUCCUUCUCCUUCGUCUGGUUCAAAGCUCAAGAACCAAGAAAAAUGCAACACCUUCAUCUCCCUUCUUCUUGGUCCAAUUCACACACACAAAUCAAUAUUUUUGCAACACAGAAAUCUCACCUUUGUCAGCAAUAAUCAAAUUGGGGGCAAUUGUUUUUUUUUCAAAAGCAAAGCUCACUCAUCCACCAUUGGAUUUCUGACCGAAAUCUCCCUUAUAAAUACUGAUUCACUCUCAGCAAAUUUCUCAAGCAAAACAACUCAAAAGGUGGGUGAUCGAUCGGGGGAACAAAAGGGUGAUCAUUUAGAGUUGUCAUCCACUUAGCAUAUGAUUAGCUUCCGCUGGAACUCUGAAACACUUAUUUAAUUCAUUUGCUUGUAAGGAUUAAUUAAUAUGAGUUCAGUUUGAUUUUAACUUAGCCUUGCAUUUAUUUCCAAGGGGAUAAGUGCGGCGGUAGCGCCACCCAUCGGGUCGAACCCCGUUGGAUUUUAUAUCCCCCCCCCCCAAAUCUCGAGUUUUACCAAAUGAAGAAGGGUUCGGGUUGGCGGGGGUGUUACACUUUGCAAACAAGUCAAUGCACACCUAAUAGUUAGAUACUGAACGUCACAGGAGUCUUAGUCCCUGGGGGUUACCGGUUUUAAUUUGAUAAAAUCUUGCUAAUGUACUUUUUUAUAGCCUAAUGUAAUUAAACCAUAACGUCCAAUAAAUUCAGGCGACGUGUAUUAAAUAA